UAGAAUUAGGCUGGAAUACUAUAAAUAGUAAAACGUUUUUUUUACUAUCAAGUUUUUAACCCUUGGAUGAAAAAUUGUAGAGUCAGGAUGAUAUUAGUCGGUUAGAGUUGAGUGGUUCCCCUAGGGUUGAGUGGUCCCCACUGGGUUAUAGUAUUUAAUUCAAUGGUUACAAAUAAUGAAAAGAGUUGAUCCAAAGGCUAAAAAACUGGUAGCAACAAUGGAAUUUUGCUACUAAUAGUAGCCCAGUCC
rnacentral:lncRNA from 1 species